AUGAGCCAGGAGACAAAACAAAAACAACCCAAAACAAACAAAACAACAAAUUAGAGAAACAUUCUGACAAUGUACCACAAUAUAGUACUAUUAAUGUUAAAACAUCAUCUUGUGUCUGGGAAAUAAACUAAAGACAGAAAAGGAAACAUUAGUGGAGAAGAGAGAAAAGUGAAAUAAAAGGCAGGAAACUGUAAAACUCCUUUUAGCCUCCCCAGAUUUCCCAUAACCCCAGAAGUGGAGCAUUUGGUUAAGGCCAUCCUCUCCCACUUAUGGUCCCAGUCAAAUGCAGACACAGGAAAAAUAUUCCUAAAGAUACUGCUCCCCAACAUUGUAUAGUAUCCUUUUUGACAGUAAGACAUAGAUGGAAUUGUCCCUAUCAUACAAGAUUGUCUCAUUAUUCCCCGUACCAACCCCCACAACACCCCUGUAUUCCCUGUAGAAAAACCAAAUGGUAGAGAAUGAAGACUUUUUUUCUUGAGAUGGAGUCUUGCUCUGUUGCCAGGCUGGAGUGCAGUGGCGCAAUCUCGGCUCACUGCAACCUCUGACUCCCUGGUUCAAGUGAUUCUCCUGCCUCAGCCUCCCGAGUAGCUGCGAUUACAGGCAUGAGCCACCACGCCCAGCUAAUUUUUGUAUUUUUAGUAGAGAUGGGUUUUCACCAUGUUGGCCAGGAUGGUCUUGAUCUCCUGACCUUGUGAUCCACCUGCCUUGGCCUCCCAAAGUGCUGGGAUUACAGGCAUGAGCCACUGCGUCCGGCCUUUUUUUUUCUCACUGUAUUUCCCAGACUGGUUUCAAACUCCUGGUCUCAAGAUAUUCUCCCUUCUUCAUCUCCCAAAGUGCUGGGAUUAGUCAUGAGCCACCAUGCCUGGGCUGAGGGUGGAGAUUUGUACAGAAUUUGAGAGCAGUAAACAAUAUCAUAAUAUUUAGACACUCACAUACCCUUCUAUCAGCUGUACCCACUCCCAGUCAGUAUUUCUCAGUUGUGCAUCUGCAGUGCCUUCUCUAGAAUUCCUGUAGAUCCACACAGCCAAUAGUUGUUUGCCUUCACCUGGAGAGAAUGGCAAUCUACACGAUAUACGUGGACUGUAAUGCCUCAAGGGUGCACAGAAAGUCCCACUUAUUUUUCCCAAAUAUUAAAGGCUGAUUUAGAGGACCAAAUUUUUCCCCAGGGUUCAAUGCUCAUCCAAUACGUGGAUGACAUUCUCCUUGGGUUAGACACACUCUCUUCCCCUCAGGAAGAUAUUUCAUAUUUACUCACACAAUUAGCCAAUAAGGGACAAGUUGUCUCAAGAUGAACGUCAGCUAUGUUCACCCCAAGUCAAAUAUUGGGGGCAUAUUAUCUGAGUCCGAGGACUGAGCGUUAACCCUGGUAGGGUGAGCGUAGUUUAACUUUCCCCAUGACCAUCACUAAAAAUCAACGUUUAAAGCGUUUUCAGGGCUGGGUGGCUAUUGUAGGAACUGGAUACCAUAUUUCUCCCUUGCGCCCCAACUUCUGUGCAUAUGAAGUGAAUGGUCUGAUCUCUUUUCUCUGCCUUUCUUUUUUUAGCAUAUGAAGGUGGAGGCAUUGCAUCUGGGGUAAUGACCCAGUAACAUGAUGACCAUCAGAGAACUAUAGGCUAUUAUGGCAACAGUUAGACCCUCUAGCUCAAGGGCUGCCUCACUGUAUGAGAGCAACAUCAGCCACUUCCCUUCUAUACAAGUCUGUUGAAGAAAUAAUCAUGGGUUCCCUUCCUACUGUUUGUGUACCGCAGUCUCUUAAGACCCUUCUAAACUCUCAUCAUACUCAACACCUGUCAAUAGGUUAACCUCCGUGAAGUUUUGCUUUUAUCUCCAAAUAUUAUCAUAUCCCAGUGUAAUUACUUUAAUCCUGCCACUCUAUUCCAGGGACCUUCUGAUGAAACCCCUCAUGACUAUGUUCUGAUGACUGACCAACGUCUCACUUCCAGGACAGACCUGCAGUAGACGCCCCUGGAUAAUGCUGAGAUAGACUGGAAUAAGCCUUCCAAGUAAUGUGGGACCUGAACAUCCUGGCAACAAGGGACAAGCUCAAAAAAGAAAAAAGAAAAAACCUGAAACCGGAGACUCAUUUCCCUCUAAAAUUCUUUCUCCAUAAGAUUUUAAAGAAAAAAUGGGAGGAAAACGUAAGAGGAAAAGAAAUCUUGGGACCUCAAACUCAUAAAGCCAAAAGAAGAAUAAAGCGAAGAAUUGGGUCAGGCAAUCCUGCCUCCCAUUUGCUUCCUAAAUAAGAUGGCUGCAAAGAUAAAAAAGUUACAUAUCUCCCUCACAAUUUGCCCACAAGGAGAUUCUUUUGUGGGCCCCAAGAUCUUUACCCUAAAACAGUUGGAAUUUCACUCUGGCAAUGUAAAUUGAUAACUUAUCUUCACAGGUGCAGGACAAAGGACAGAACUCAAAGUCAUCCCUCUGCUGACCUGAGACAAAUGCGUAUCUGAGUGCUUCCUCCGCCCUAUUGUCUAUGUCAUUUUAUGUUAAAAUGCAUAAAGUACUGAUGCCUUCAGCAAGCCAGAUGAAGUCAUGAGUGUCUAUUUCCUCUACCUCCCUCACACAUGAAAAUUGUGUAUUCAGUGAAAGGCUGAUCAAAGGCUCAAAAGGAUGCAACCAUUUUGUCUUUUUAUCUACUGAGACACGUUUUAAAAAUAUUUCUUGGCUCACACCCGUAAUCCCAGCACUUUGGCAGGGCGAGGCAGGUGGAUCACCUGAGGUCGGGAGUUCGAGACCAGCCUGACCAAAAAGGAGAACCUCAUCUUUACUAAAAAUACAAAAUUAGCUGGGCAUGGUGGCGCAUGCCUAUAAUCUCAGUUACUCGGGAGGCUAAGGCAGGAGAAGCACUUGAACCUGGGAGGCAGAGGUUGCAGUUGCAGUGAGCCGAGAUUGUGCCAUUGCACUCCAGCCGGGGCAACGAAAGUGAAACUCCGUCUCAAAAAAAAAAAAAAAAAAAUCCCUUCCUUCAAUAUCCACUCUUUCCAAUAUUGAAGCCCUCAAAAUCAUCUUUGGAGAAAAGCAUAGACCUGUCUCCUGGGCAUGCAUCCUUAAUUUUGGCAAAUAAACUGUGUCCAGAAUUGGUGGGUUCUUGGUCUCACUGACUUCAAGAAUGAAGCCACGGACCCUCGCAGUGAGCGUUACAGCUCUUAAGGUGGGGCGUCUGGAGUUGUUCGUUCCUUCCGAUGUUCGGAUGUGUUCAGAGUUUCUUCCUUCUGGUGGGUUCGUGGUCUCGCUGGCUCAGGAGUGAAGCUGCAGACCUUCGCGCUGCCAAUCAGAUUAAUCAAACAUGAAAAAAAAGAUGAGAUUGCAAUUGUGGGAAUAGGAUGCAAUUUUCCAGGAGAUUGAGUGAAUUUGACAAUAACUUGUUUGGAAUUAGUGACUUGGAAGCUGAAUGUCUGGACCCUCAGCAGAAAUUGCUUCUGGAAUGCACCUAUGGAGCCCUGGAGAGUGCUGGGGUCCCUGCCAAGGAGGUGGCUGGUUCCAGGACAGGAGACUUCAUUGGUGAGAGAGCAAUGAACAGAAACCAAAAACCAUCAAACAACAAUUCUCAGGUCAGCUUUGCUAUAGCAAACGGUUUUGGUGUGUGUGGCUGGUUUCAAUUAUGAUCACUGAGUAUUUGCCUCCUCUCCAGCCUUGCCACACAAACAUUUCUCUUUCUAAAACCGUGUAGUUAUCACUCAUAUUUCUCUUCUCAGUAUUCCCCAGGGUGUCCAGGAAGACCAGUAAAACCUCUCUACACAGAGACAUUUCCCGACAGCCUGGAAUGAGUGUCAAUGACUAUAGGUCCAUAGGAGCCACCUAUCAGACAACCUGAUAGAUUGCAGAGAUCCAGGCACUUCAUUGACCCUAGUGGAUCAGUGUAGACCACAAUGACUCAAGGAGUAUAUAUUAGGAAAAUAUAUUGACUCAAGGAGUAUAUAUUAGGCUAACUUUGAGCUUCUGAAUUCCAGAGUCUAAACAGGAUCUGGAUCCCCAAGGAACUUCUUGGAGUCAAUUGAAUUCUGAGAUUUCCUACUCCCAGAUGUCUUUUGAAAUUAACUUCAGAUCCAGGGCAGGUACCCUCUAGGUAGUGGGCACUUAAAUUCGCAGACCUAUCUUGUUCUCAACCUUUAUUCUAAGCCUCAAAUAAUGCACUGGGGAAAUUUUAUUUUUGUUAAUAAAAGUAAUAAUGUAUUACGGCAAUAGUUGUUUUAUAAUAAAAAGCAACUUAGAGUGGAAUGCCACUAGCUAAAUUCUACUAACUAAAGCUUACCAAGCUUCUCAGUUCAAGGCUGCCCUAAGUAUUUUCUCCUUAUCAAGUUACGAAGAAACUCAUCAAAGUCAGCCUCCAUGUUUCCUCAACUGAGUCUUUCUUUCUUCAUAUUUUCCACUGUGUCUAGACAAUUCAGUUGAAACUGUCUUGGUAUUAAACCAUGAUUAGAAUAUGAAGGCUUAUGUGGUUCGUGUGUGUUGGGGCUGAUGUGUCCGUACCUACUGAAGAUUUAUACCUGGGAGAAUCACAGCGAGGUUACCAUGAAGUUACAUGGAGGGAGAUGAUUUUUAUAUGAGUGACAAGUAGCACAUUCAGGGUGAGCACAGGGGCUGUGGAAUCCACAGGGAGGAGAGUGCCAACCUCAGUCUUGGUGAGUGAGGGCAGGCUGCACAGGAAGAAGUAACAUCAAAACUGAAACCUAAAGGAUGCCCAGAAGUGACCCAAUAAGUGGGGAGAGAAUGAAAUGAAGAGCAUCCAGAAAUAGGGAAUUUUAAGAAUAGUCUUUCCAGAGGUGAGGAGAUAAAAAAGCCCAGGUUGAGUUCCUGGAAUGGAAAGUUUGGUACGGCCAGUCCUAGAGUACAAUAUCUCUUGAGGAGACAAGUCUGGAGAGGUUGGUGGUAGAAAACUUGGAGACAACAUACAACAUACAACAUACAACAAUACAACAACAUACAUACAACAUACAAC